ensembl:lncRNA
AUACUCAAGCCCAACAAACUGGCUUAAUUAAGAGAUGGGAUUUAGAUACUUCCCCGGCAGUCCAGUGGUUAAGAUGCCUUGAGUCCAAUGCAAGGAGUGCAGUUUCAGUCUUUGGUCAGGGAACUAAGAUCCCACACAGCUCACAGUGCAGCCAAAAAAAAGGAAAGAAAUUUAUUGGCUCAAGCAACAAAAAUGGCCAGGUUAACCUGUUGAUGCAAACAAAGGCCUCAGGACUCCCACAGGCCACAUCCCUCCAGCCCACCUCAGCCUGGUUUCCCUGACUCCACUAGGCAACUAGAUGAUAAAUAGCAGCUUCACUCACGUGCUCAUAGAGCUUGUAAUUUCAGAAUAAAAAUCUCUUAGGGAAGUUCCAUCUGUAAACCGUUCCAUUCAGUAUGUCUCAGGGAUGGAGUACUCUACUGGCCAGAGCUGAGUCAGCCUCACUGAAUGCAUAAGGAGUUGGCCCUGCGUAUCUGCAGAUUCAAGGGUCUAAGGGUCACAGGGGCCUGGCUCAUCACAGGAAGGUUCACCAGGCACAGACAUACACUGCAGGGUGUCCGGAAGACCCAGCUCGGCCAGAAAGGGGAAGGCAGCAGCACAGUCCACCAAGAAUGUACGCUGUGAAAACCAGGAGCCUGAGGUCAGCACAGGGGUUGAUGGAUACCGAAAACUUAUGCACAGGGGUAUGUGUGUGUGUGUGUGUGAGUGUAUAGUUACUCAGUCACCCCAUCAACUCCGUAAUAUCCCCAUUUUUCAAGUGAGAAAAAAUGGAAACUCAGAGAUACAAUUUGCUGGGAAGGGACAGAGCUAGAAUUCAGAUCUGGAUAAGCUUGACUCCGAAUCCUGCGUGUUUUCCAUGCAGAAUGCCAGCCCCGGAGAAGCCUCUAGGUGAGACUGACAGGUGAGCGCUUGGAACUACCAGCCCUCAGGAGUCCACUUUCGCCUGCCCAGCCCCAGGAUGGGGGCUGGCAGCCACAGUCCCGCACAGCUCCCUGCUGAGCCGCCCUUGACGAGCAUCAGCAACCAGUGCCUCUCCCAGUGGGAGGACGCUCCUACCAGGGAGCGGCUCUGCCAGCCUGAUCUCUGACUGUGGGAGAGAACCGCCUGGUGCUGUCGGUGACACGGGGUCCACAGACAGGUGAAGGAAGAAGGAGAGGCGUGUUGGCUGUGGGAUGACUGGGCGAGACAAUGAAUAAUAGAGUCCUAGGAAAAUAAAUGAGAGAAAACUUACUAUCUCACGUUCAGAGAUUUAAAUGGGAAUGUGGCACCAGAGAGAGAGGAGGCUCUGAAACAGAAAAUGAGGACAGCCUAUCUUCUCUGAUGGCUCAGGUGAUAAAGAAUCUGCCGGCAAUGCAGGAGAUCCAGGUUCAGUCCCUGGGGUGGGGAAGAUCCCCUGGAGGAGGGCAUGGCCACCCACUCCAGUAUUCUUGCCUGGAGAAUCCCAUGGACAGAGGAGCUUGGCAGGCUCCAGUCCGUGGAGUUGAAAAGAGUCGGACACAACUGAAUGACUAACACUUUGAUCUGCAGAAAAUCCUCGGACAGGAAAAGGGGGAAACCCAAAGAAACCAGCAGAGCUGUGCAGAGAGCUCCCUGACAGGCUCACAAAUCCAAAGGCAGAUGUAAGAGGAGGAAGGUUGAAGUCCUGGAUAAGCUGAGACUUGAAAGAGUUCAGAUAGUAAAAGAUGUUCUUGGUUACAUUCGGAGAAGGUGUGGAUGACAUGUCAGGUUAGCAGUUGUUGGAAAGUAGGAUACUCAACCCCGAUUUUCUUCACUCUUCAUAGAAGAAGAGCAUUUCUAAACUGGAGUGAGGCAAGAAAAUGUGGGAUAGAGGAAACUGAAACUCCAGAGAAAAGACAGUAAGUAAACCCAGGCACCCAUUUAAAUAAGUUGCAAGACGUUCCUGGUGGUCCAGUGGCUUGGACUUCGCACUCCCAAUGCGGGGGGCACAGGUUCAAUUCCCUGUUCGGGGAACUAAGAUCCCACAUACUGCACGGUGCAGCCAAAAAUAAAAAAUAAUAAAAUGAGUUGCAAAUCCCAAGGUGUUAAACUUUGCAGAGAAGAUCCUGGAGUCCUUGCCAGUGUGCGUGAGAAAGCCGUGCAGAAAGGAAAGGGCCCCCAGUGCCUGAUGGCUGUGAAUGUCCUGGUGUUACAAAAGAGGAAAAGGUAGAUUCUGGAAACUCUAGGUGGGUACGCUUCAGGUGAAUCCCCAAACUUAUUCUAGAAUAUAAUGAACUGGGUUUAUAUAAUUAAAUUGGGUUUGAGAACACCUAGAAAAAGAAAGUGGCAGAAAGUGAAGAGGAACUAAAGAGCCUCUUGAUGAAGAUGAAAAAGAGUGAAAAAGCUGGCUUAAAACUCAACAUUCAAAAAACUAAGAUCAUGGCAUCCAGACCCAUCACUUCAUGACAAAUAAAUGGGGAAAAAAUGGAAACAGUGACAGACUAUUUCCUUGGGGUCCAAAAUCACUGCAGACUGGUGACUGCAGCCAUGAAAUUAAAAGACGCUCCUUGGAAGAAAACCUAUGACAAACCUAGACAUAUAUUAAAAAGCAGAGACAUCACUUUGCUGACAAAGGUCCUUAGAGUCAAAGCUAUGGUUUUUCCAGUAGUCAUGUAUGGAUGUGAGAGUUGGACCAUGAAGAAGACUGAGCACCAGAGAAUUGAAUUGUGGGUUGUGGUUCUGGAGAAGACUCUCGAGAGUCCCUUGGACUGCAAGGAGAUCAAACCAGUCAGUCCUAAAGGAAAUCAACCCUGAAUGUUCAUUGGAAGGCUUGAUGCUGAAGUUGAAGCUCCAAUACUUUGGCCUCCUGAUGUGAAGAGCUGACUCAUUGGAAAAGACCCUAAUGCUGGGAAAGACUGAAGGCAAAAGGAGAAGAGGGUAGCAGAGGAUGACCUGGUUAGAUGGCAUCACUGACUCAAUGGACAUGAGUUUGAGCAAUCUCUGGGAGAUAGUGGAGGACAAAAAAGCCUGACUUGCUAUAGUCCAUGGGGUCCUAAAGAGUCGGACACGACUUAGUGACUGAACGACAAGAAAUGAAAAGAAUUGGUACCUUCACUAAAAACAAGAUAUUACCAACAGAAAUCCAGUGUGUUGUUAUUUAUUUGGAAAGCCACUAGGGAUAUUUCCUUGGACAUACUGUACGCUGUUUCCAGUUAGACAUCAAACGUCUUUCAGUCGAGACAACCAGGAAAACAGUGGCUACUCCUAGAUCGCCCAUCUGGUGGGCUUCUAGCCCAUCUAACCCCUGUGCUGCUCCCCUCAGGUUGCUUAUUCAAGGGAUGCAAAUCCGAGGAGAAGCCUUAAAGUUCAUGCUUCUGGAUUCUGCAUUUGGUCAGCUCAGUGGUUAAUCGUGUCUGUCACACUGGAAAUGCAGAUGGCACCACUAUGGGGAGGAAAAGCUAAUACUUGGAUGUCAGAAUCAAGACCCUAAAAUAUCUUAAAACAGUGGGCUGAAACUAACCGGGUGAAUCUGAAAGAAGUGGAAAGACCUGCGUUUUUAUGUAUUUUUAAAAACUCAGCUGCGCUAGCUAAGGAUGAAGGCAGUUUGGCUUGAUGGUACAUAUGAAAAAGGCUGAGGGCUUUCAGCUGACUCAGGUUGAAUAGGAGCCAGCAGGAACCCAGCAGCUGCUUAAAAAGAUACUGAUUCUCCCUGCCUUUUUAAAUUUUAGGUACAAAAGGGUGGAACAGUGAAAAGUAUGUCUUUCUCCCAUAACCAUUCCUCUUGCCUGGAGGCAACUGCUAUUAAUGGUUUCUAGAAGAUUCUCUCAGAGGUAUUUUAUGCACAAAAAAAGCAAAUGCAUACUUAAAAAAAAAAGGAAAUGGUAGUAUACUGUACACUCUUUAUUUCCUUAAAACAAUAUUUAUUUCAUAAUUCAUUAACCUGUUUGAUUCAUUACUCAAAGAUACAGACCCAAUGUAUACUCAGAAAUGGUCAUAAAGAUCUCUCUCACCUAAUAAACUAUUACUUUAUACAUUAGAAUUACCAAAAAAGUUAUUAUAAUAACUAACAGUAUAGCUAUAACACUUGCAGCAUGGAGACCUGAACUUAAAGCAAUUCUCAACUAAGUCUUGAAUACAAAAUGCAUAGGAUUUAACAGAUUUUUCCAAUAUAUUGCAAUGGGUUGGUCCUAAACUCUUCUUCUUGUUUAAGUGGAAACUCAGGGGAACUCUUUCAGGAAAGCAUCAGUGGAAAAAUGGAAUUCUGGAUUAAAAAAAAUAAAGUUUUAGGAAAUUUGAGUCACAGGAGAAAAGAGGUCAUCUUAUUGGGAAAGCAAAGGAGGUACAAUUAUUUCCUUCCAUGAAACUGUCCUCUCCAUUUAUAACAAGGUAUGACUUUGAGGGCCAAGUACAGCCGGAGCAGACUUAUGGAAAAAGAAGCCUGAUGAGUAGUCUAGCCUGUACUGGAGUUCAGAUUUUACACGACAGCAACAAAAUAAAAUUUUCAAACAAUACACAUGAGGAUUUUGGAGCAAAAGACUUAACCAGCAUUCAUUCAACAAAUAUUUAAUAUGGAAGUCAUAUUCUAGAGUGUAUAGAUGAAAGAUAUGUUAGAAAUGAUAAAUGCCACAAAUAAACAGAAAAUAGCAAGUUGUUUGCUUUAUUUUAUUUUAUUUUUUUUAGGGUUGAUGCGAUUAGGACUGGGUUAUAGACAGUUGUUAGGAAAUAUUGUCUCAUUUGGUGAUAUUCAAGCUAAGACAUAAAGGAGAUGCAAGACUCAUGUAGAAAGCCAAAAACAAAAAGCCAGCCAAGAGUUGAACAAUAAUGUUUUAGACAGGGGAGCGAAUGUGAGGGAGAGAAACGGCACAUGCAGAACGCAGCUGCUAUAAUCCAUGACUUGUGGAGGCGAUGCACAAAGCAUCUUUAAAGACCAGAUGACCACAGCUUGGCCAAACUUCAUUUCAGCUACAUACCGUUUGCCUCAAAACAAACGUAUACCUUGUUUUUUCCACUUACCAGUAAAUCUUAGAGAUUAUUUCAUAUCAGUAUGCAAAAUGAGUCCUCAUUCUUCUAUAAACAGAGUUAUUAGUAUUCUGUGUCUCAGAAUUUAUUGGAUGGGUCCUCUAUUGUUAUUGCAAACAAUGCUGCAGUGAAUAACAUGUCAUUUCAGAUGUGGGUAUAUAUCAGAGUAACAGCUUUUCAGGAAGUAGAAUCAAAGAGUUGAAGGGCAUGCAUAUUUUAAACUUUGGUAGAUAAUGUCCAGUUAUCCAGCGGUACUGGUUGACCAUCCCACUAAAAGGGUAUGAAUGUUUCUCUACCUCCUCACCAACAGAAUAUGUUAUGAACCUAUUGAUCUUAGAUAACGUGAGAGGUAAAAAAAGGAUGGCAUCUUAUUCUGAGUUACUUGUAUUUUCUUUUUUAUUAACUGUUUAUACCCUUUACCCACUUUCCUACUGAGUCGUCUUUUCUUAGAGCUCUUAUAUAUUAAAGAAAUUUGCUCUUUGUGCUAUGAAUUACAAAUAUAUUUUCCAGUUUAUAGUUUGUCUUGACUUUGCUUCUGGCAGUUUGCUAUGUUAAUAUGUUUUUCCUUUUAAGCUGUAGUAAAAAGCUUAAAUUUUUUUUAAUGAAUUGUGGAUUUUAUGUCAUACUUCAAACUUGACUGAGCAUGCACACAUGUAUGUAUAUAUGAUGUAUGGAUCCAACUUAGAGCUUUCUAGGUGGCUACCUAGUCAUUGCCCUACAGUUUAUUAAAUCACGUGUUUUCUCUAAACUCCCACUUGUAUAAUAUGUAUUUGUCUUCCAGUAC